GUGGUUUUAAAUCACUAAAGAGGGAAUCUAGCAUGAAUAUUUAAUGUUCAUAAUGCAUGUAAUGAAAGAGUGCAUAGAUUUGCUAAAGGCACUAGACCAGCAUAUGUUGAUGAAGUUGUUGCAUGAUUUUAACUUGAGUUUCGAAACGCGAAAUCUUCUAUAUCAGUUGCAUGUUUUUUGUGGUCUAAAUUAUGCUUUAAAUGAAAGAUCUAGCUUAAUGUAUUAUGACUCAAAAAUCAUGACUUGCAAGUCUUGGUAUGAUGAUACAAUUGUGCUGACCCCCUCCUUCCUCCCAGGUACUCAGGCGCAGUCUAGGUGUCCAGAUCCUCAGUAUAGUCUACAGACAGGUUGUCUCAGAGUUCAGUUGGUUUGUAUUUGAAGAAUUUGGGUUGUUGAAGAAGAAGAUAUGUGCUCUUUCUUUUCAUUGACGAGGAUUUAUCAAAGGUUUUACUCGCCGUCCAAUAUCCCCUCUUCCUUAUCAUCAGUGUAUCUAAAUCUGGUUGACAGGGAGUGUUUCAAUGACUAUCGAGGGUGAUGGAGACAAAGAAUACCCAGACGAGGACGAAGUAACUAGCAACAGACUAGUGCAAGAGAGGGAAAAUGUAAGUCAGGAUUGUGAGUUUAAGGUUGAGACUGUUAACGGUGAUGUACGAGGUGGGUGUGUGGGGACAUUACAAGCUAAAUGUGGGAAAGAUUUCUUCAUGUUACCUCCAUUAAGGUGCUUCUGGUGGUGAAUGAUUAUUCUACGCGACAUAUUGUUACUGCUUUACUUCGAAAUUGCAAAUAUGAAGUUAUAGAAGCAGCUAAUGGAUUGCAAGCUUGGAAGAUAUUAGAAAAUGGUACAAAUCAAAUCGAUGUAGUGCUAAGUGAGGUGGUAAUGCCUUGUCUAUCAAAAUCAUGAGCCACAAGACACACAAGAAUAUUCCUGCUAUCGGAUGCUGGAAUUAGAGCGUUAUCAAAUAUAGAAGGAGCCAUUCUUUUUGAAACAUAAUAAGCAGGAAAGACGCUAAAUUGAACGCACAGUUUGGCUUUUGAUUUUCACAUCUAUCCAUAUUUUCAUCUACACCUGAUGAGGGUGAUGUGCAGUGAUGUCACGUCAAGUGUUUAUCGAAAGGUGCAGCCGACUUCCUUGUGCAACCGAUACGAAAGAACGAGAUCAAGAAUCUGUGGCAGCAUGUCUGGAGAAGGUGCCAAAGUUCUAGUGGAAGCGGAAGUGGUACACAAACCCGAAAAUCUGUGAAGUCAAAGAGCAGCGAACAAUCUGCCAACGAUAUUGGUAGCUAUGAUGGGGAAGAUAAUCAGAGAAAUGCUCCUCUUGGAAAGGGAAGUGAUGAUGGAAGUGACAUAGAGAGUUAUUGGACAAAACAGGCUGUUCAAGUUGAUAUCUCUGAAACAGUGUCGCCCGUGUAAUCAAGCACCUGAGCCUGGAGGCAGCACUUGUGUGCAAGUUAUCCGUUCGAAUGCAGAAAACUCUACUCACAUGGAGUCACACAUGACACGAACCCCUCAGGAGAUUGCCAAGAAGAACCUGGCAAAGACCGUGACUUAGCCUCUUUCGUCCUUCUGUUCUGUUCUGUUUUGUUUGCUGACUGACAUGUAUCAUGCAUGUCGUCCCAUUACAGAUGGCGCUGAAAAAGGCAAACUCUCUAUCACUGGUUCGCUUAGAGAUUCAGAGUUAGAACCUGUAAAUGCUAUUGUGCUUCCAAGUACAACAGCUUGACGCAAGACAGAAGAGUGCACUGGAAAUAGUUUGAAGAUGGAAAACCAAAUUGGUAAUUGUCCACCAAGUGAAUGUCAUGUUGCGAUUGCUGAUGUGUCUCAUCCUCAGAUUGACAUAAGAGAUUGAACACAAAGCUGUGGAUGCAUCAGAAAUCUAAAUUUAUCUUUUAUUUUCUUUCCUGAAUGAAAUGUUUGAAGAUUUACCUUUACUCGAUGGUUGUACGAUUUUUUCAGAUAUAAUUCAUCCUCAAAUAUUACAAGGACUCCCAAUGGGAUCACUAGAAGUAGUCUGGAAAUUACAAGGGAGUAAUCCCGUGCAUGAUAUUAAAGCUUGUAUGAAUGGAAGUGCUUCUGGGAGUAACUGUUGGGUUCAUAGUAAAUAAGAAGUGUGAAUGGAAAAUGGAGAAAAACCAAGUACAACAACAACAACAAACCCAGUGUAUUCCCACUUAGUGGGGUCUGGGGAGUAAGAUGUACGCAGUCCAUACCUCUACCUCUGAUGAAGUAGAAAGGCUGUUUCCGAAAGACCCCCGGCUCAAGUCAAGAGAUAUCACACAAACACAUAGUACAGCACAGAAGCAGAUGACAUAACAUAGAUCUAAGAUUUUGAUCUAAUUACUUUUUGCAGUUGCUUCACUUUAAUUCAUAACAUAACUAAUGUGAGUAUAAACUAUUUAUUAUUUUAAAAUUAAAUAAAUAAAAUAUUUUUAAAUUU